UUGUGUUUGUCAUCAGCUUUUACUAAAGAAAAAGCAAGCCUUCUUGGCUGUGUGGAUAUUCCAGGAACUGAAUGAUUCCAUUCAUGUAGAUAAUGAUAACAGAGCCAAAACAAAAAUAUUGUCAUAUUUAUCUGCCUGUCAGGACUGUUGGAGCGCUGGAUGGAGAGCAGGUCAUAUGAAGAGGAUUACGGAGUAAAAGGUAGCUUGUACUUAAGUGCAGGGAAAGUAUAAAUAUUUAUGUAUAUUGGCACAGUGCCUAGCCUUAAUGCUUAAAAUCCUUUGGAGAGCUGUCUGCAUAUUUACUGUAUUAAUGAUCAAAUGCAAGGCUGUGUUGGGAAAGGUCUUCCAUUUGGAAGUCAGUAGUUGAGACUGUCUUGCCUAUGAAAAAGAGGGAGAAUUUUCAUUGGAGGAUGUAGGAUUCUGGCUGGUAAUAGUCUUAAUUCAAGGUAUUUUUAGAGAAUUGAUUUAACACAAGCAGAACAAAUGGCCAGAAGUGUAAUGAGAGACAAGUUGAAAUUAGAAAGUAGAUGUGCAUUUUGAAUGUAUUGUCAUAGCAACUGAUUAAAUUCUCCCUCUCUUGCUGUUCUGGGGACCUUUUAAAUGUGCUUUGGCUAAAUAAAAAGUAUUAGACUAUUUCAGAGCCAAAAGGUCA